GGGCCCGCACAAGCAGUGGAGUAUGUGGAUUAAUUCGAAGCAACGCGAAGAACCUUACCAGGUCUUGACAUGGGGAUGAUCGCGCUAGAGAUAGCGUUUUCCUUCGGGACAUCCCACACAGGUGGUGCAUGGUUGUCGUCAGCUCGUGUCGUGAGAUGUUGGGUUAAGUCCCGCAACGAGCGCAACCCUUACUGUUAGUUGCUACGCAAGAGCACUCUAGCAGGACUGCCGUUGACAAAACGGAGGAAGGUGGGGAUGAUGUCAAAUCAUCAUGCCCCUUAUGACCUGGGCCUCACACGUACUACAAUGGCCGUUAACAACGGGAAGCAAUAUGGUGACAUGGAGCAAAACCCCAAAAACGGUCUCAGUUCGGAUUGUAGGCUGAAACUCGCCUGCAUGAAUUGGAAUUGCUAGUAAUCGCGGAUCAGCAUGUCG
rnacentral:rRNA from 1 species